ensembl:miRNA
GUGCAAAAGUUACUGUGGUUUUUGCCAUCAAAAGUAAUGGCAAAAACUGCAAUUACUUU